GGUCAAUGAUGAAUAGUAAAAGGUCUGACUUCCCAGGUCACCUCCCAGCAGCCUACAUCCCCAGCUUCUUCUUCCCCAUCAGGAGCUAGUAGUGCUGUGAUAGGCAGAAACAGUAGCUAAACAUACAGUGAUGUUCCCAUUCUGUGCUCCCUGACAAGCCCAGGGAAGACACCCUGGUUGGCAUCCAACAGCUUAAUCACAAAGGGAUUUGAUUGUUGGGAAUGCUGGUGUCUGUGGCUAUGAUCAGUUAUUUUUAGCUGAGACC
ensembl:scaRNA